UACGAAGGUCCCAAGCGUUAUCCGGAUUUAUUGGGGUUUAAAGGGUGCGUAGGCGGCUUAUUAAGUCAGUGGUGAAAGCUCCAUGCUUAACAUGGAAAUUGCCAUUGAUACUGAUGAGCUUGAGUAUAUUUGAAGUGGGCGGAAUGUGUCGUGUAGCGGUGAAAUGCUUAGAUAUGACACAGAACACCGAUUGCGUAGGCAGCUCACUAAACUAUAACUGACGCUGAGGCACGAAAGCAUGGGGAUCAAACAGG
rnacentral:rRNA from 1 species